GUGCGUAACACGUAUGUAACCUACCUUAGUCAGGGGGAUAGCCUCUCGAAAGAGAGAUUAAGACCGCAUAACAUCACGGAAUGGCAUCGUUUUGUGAUCAAAUAUUUAUAGGACUAAGAUGGGCAUGCGCAACAUUAGCUAGUUGGUGUGGUAACGGCAUACCAAGGCUACGAUGUUUAGGGGAUCUGAGAGGAUGACCCCCCACACUGGUACUGAGACACGGACCAGACUCCUACGGGAGGCAGCAGUAAGGAAUAUUGGUCAAUGGACGGAAGUCUGAACCAGCCAUGCCGCGUGCAGGAAGACGGCCCUACGGGUUGUAAACUGCUUUUGCAGGGGAAUAAACCUCGAUACGUGUAUCGAGUUGAAUGUACCUUGAGAAUAAGGAUCGGCUAACUCCGUGCCAGCAGCCGCGGUAAUACGGAGGAUCCAAGCGUUAUCCGGAUUUAUUGGGUUUAAAGGGUGCGUAGGCGGCUUUUUAAGUCAGGGGUGAAAGACGGUAGCUCAACUAUCGCAGUGCCCUUGAUACUGAAGAGCUUGAAUGUACUUGAGGUAGGCGGAAUGUGACAAGUAGCGGUGAAAUGCAUAGAUAUGUCACAGAACACCAAUUGCGAAGG
rnacentral:rRNA from 1 species